GAAAGGGAGCAUAGCGGUCAGUGAGCACCUUGGGUCAGCACCUUGAGCCAUUCAGGAAACACAAGUCAGAGUGACAAGAUCCUAUGUCGUGUCCAGGUGUCCAGUGAGACAGCUCACAUGGGGAAGACUGGCAGCACCAGGUGUGGCUAAGCAUGGGGCAGCUACAAAUCCUGCGAAUUGCCAGUGUUAGUGGGGAGUGGUGCAGCCAUUUGGAGAAUGGCCCGGGAGUUUCACAUAAGGGAAACGUUUACCACAUGACUCAGCAAUUCCACGCCUUGGCAGAUUUACUCAAAAGAAAUAAAAAAGUACAACCACAAAUUGCUUAUACACAAAUAUUCCCAGUCUUGUUAGUCCUAAAACUGCAAGCCGGACACCAUAUGAGGUGCUUUGAGUGCCGAAUUACAAACACAGUGUGGUAUAUCCAUUCAAUGGGAUACACAUAAAUGAACCUUAGAAGUACUCUGCUGACGCAUGGUAGAAACGGAUUACAUUUAUGAGAUGUUUUGGAAUAGGCAAAAAUGUAGCCACAGAAAUAAGAAAUUGCCUGAUUUCAGAGGAAUCUUUCUGGAAUAACAGAAAUAUUCCAUACCACACUUGGCAUGGCCAUUACAUGAUAGUGACUUGUCAAAACUUAUUGAACUGUGCACUUAAAAUGGGUAUAUUUUGCUGUAUUAAAUCAUACCUUGAUAAAAUUGAUUUCUAAAGUGAUAGGAAAUUAACUAUACUGAUAACCAAUUAUCUCCAAAAUAAGACUAUUUUUUCUAAUCUCCAUAUGUUAAUUUUUACUAAUAAUUGUCUAUGUUUUAAUAAGUGAUGGUAUGAUUUAGAUUCUUUGGAAGUUAUUGAGCAGGGGAAUAAUAUGGUCUGAUUUGUAUUUUUCUUUAUAGACUUUAUGUUUUUUUAAGCAGUUCUAGUUUCAUAGCAAAAUUUAGUGGAAAAUCACACCAGACCCUGUAAAGAUGUACAAUUACUGUAUAUAUAUUAAAAACAGGGACCAGGGGUGUAAUUUAGUGGUUAAGCAUGUGCUUAGCAGUCACAGGCCCGGGGUUUAAGCUUAGAAUCAAAAUUAAAUAAAAAUAAAUAUUUUUAAAAAGAAUAAAUUCAAGUGGAGAGUGUACUGUUCACAUGAGCCCC
rnacentral:lncRNA from 1 species